rnacentral:rRNA from 1 species
UGGGGAAUAUUGCACAAUGGGCGCAAGCCUGAUGCAGCCAUGCCGCGUGUGUGAAGAAGGCCUUCGGGUUGUAAAGCACUUUCAGCGAGGAGGAAGGUGGUGAGCUUAAUACGCUCAUCAAUUGACGUUACUCGCAGAAGAAGCACCGGCUAACUCCGUGCCAGCAGCCGCGGUAAUACGGAGGGUGCAAGCGUUAAUCGGAAUUACUGGGCGUAAAGCGCACGCAGGCGGUUUGUUAAGUCAGAUGUGAAAUCCCCGGGCUCAACCUGGGAACUGCAUUUGAAACUGGCAAGCUAGAGUCUCGUAGAGGGGGGUAGAAUUCCAGGUGUAGCGGUGAAAUGCGUAGAGAUCUGGAGGAAUACCGGUGGCGAAGGCGGCCCCCUGGACGAAGACUGACGCUCAGGUGCGAAAGCGUGGGCAGCAAACAGGAUUAGAUACCCUGGUAGUCCA